GACGAACGCUGGCGGCGUGCUUAACACAUGCAAGUCGAACGGAAAGGCCCUGCUUGUGUGGGGUGCUCGAUUGGCGAACGGGUGAGUAACACGUGAGUAACCUGCCCUACACUUUGGGAUAACUUCACGAAACUGGGGCUAAUACCGGAUAGGAGCUCCUGCUGCAUGGUGGGGGUUGGAACGUUUCGGCGGGUGGGGAUGGACGGGCGGCUUAUCAGCUUGCUGGUGGGGUAGUGGCUUACCCAGGCUUUGACGGGUAGCCGGCCUGAGAGGGUGGACGGCCACAUUGGGACUGAGAUACGGACCAGACUCCUAUGGGAGGCAGCAGUGGGGAACAUUGCACAAUGGGCGGAAGCCUGAUGCAGCAACGCCGCGGGCGGGAUGACGGCCUUCGGGUUGUAAACAGCUGUCGCCUGUGACGAAGCGUGAGUGACGGUAAUGGGUAAAGAAGCACCGGCUAACUACGUG
rnacentral:rRNA from 1 species